rnacentral:lncRNA from 1 species
AAGCAGAUUCAAUCAAUGACAACAAUCAUCAUUAUGAACCGGAGCUAAGCAUAUUAACAUAUCUAGUUAUCCUAGUAAUACUGAUAAGUUACUAUAUAUUUUUAAAUGCGCUUACAUUGCGGCUACGGCUAGUAAGCCUAGUAUAACUAGUAAGAUUUUAGGAUUACUAGGAAGCCAAGCUCUUUAAGUAUCCUGGGACAGAUUCUAAAUUCAUUUUAUUUCAUUUAGAAUCUUUUAAACAAUCCUCAGGCUUUCAAUAACAUCAC